rnacentral:rRNA from 1 species
AUUGAACGCUGGCGGCAGGCUUAACACAUGCAAGUCGAGCGGGGUGAUGGUGCUUGCACCAUCACUUAGCGGCGGACGGGUGAGUAAUGCUUAGGAAUCUGCCUAUUAGUGGGGGACAACAUCUCGAAAGGGAUGCUAAUACCGCAUACGUCCUACGGGAGAAAGCAGGGGAGCACUUGUGACCUUGCGCUAAUAGAUGAGCCUAAGUCGGAUUAGCUAGUUGGUGGGGUAUAGGCCUACCAAGGCGACGAUCUGUAGCGGGUCUGAGAGGAUGAUCCGCCACACUGGGACUGAGACACGGCCCAGACUCCUACGGGAGGCAGCAGUGGGGAAUAUUGGACAAUGAGGGGAACCCUGAUCCAGCCAUGCCGCGUGUGUGAAGAAGGCCUUAUGGUUGUAAAGCACUUUAAGCGAGGAGGAGGCUCUUUUGGUUAAUACCCAAGAUGAGUGGACGUUACUCGCAGAAUAAGCACCGGCUAACUCUGUGCCAGCAGCCGCGGUAA